rnacentral:lncRNA from 1 species
GCGGUGCUGCGGGAGGCGGAGGUGCUGUGGCUCUGGGAAGGCUGAAAAGGGACGGCUGCAAAGGAGAAGAGCUUCGAGUCCUUUCCAUCAGGAGAAAAACCCGGUCAGCUGUGGAGGAGCACUGCACAGGAGUCAGAAAGUGGAGUCUGGGCGUGACCUUGCACCUGACCAGCCUGGGGCUCUAGGUCUGCCACAUCUGGACUAAUCUCCUGUGUCCUGAGCUCCCAGGACCCCAGAGGCAAGCAUGGAGGGGCCAUGCUGGCAGGUAAAGUUGAACCCACAGUGGCUUAGGACGAGCUCCUGCACAGCGGCCUGUUUCCCAGUUGCAACGUGUAUCUCUUUGCCUCUCUUGGCUCAGCCCUGGCCCUAUCCCCAGGCCAUCCAAGGGGCAGCCUGGUGAGGUUUCCUCAACUUUGCUAAUGACUUGACCUACAGUCUUAAGUCAAGAAGGUGUCGCUCUCCUUUGUGAUGGCUGGACGCACAGGAGCUGUGGUCAGGAUGGGGCUAGAGGAGCUGAAAUCCCAGGGCAACAAGGGUAUUUAAAAACACAUCGCAGGAGAAACAGCUAAAGAGUCUUGGAACCAGGAAUCAUAAGCUGUUUGAUGGGAUGAACUAUCUUGGGAGUGAUGAGGUCCCCAUCACUGAAAGUAUUCAAGCAGAGAGAGUCAUGGAAUUAGGAGAUGGAAGAGCAUCAGACACUGAAUGAAGUCUGCACUACAUGAGAUGAAGAACCCUUCCAGCCCUGAGGCCAAGCAGCCACUUCUCUGGAGCAGGCUGGCCCAUCUAUGUCCAGGAGGCCAGCCCCAGGCUAGCUUCUGAGCACUGGGAGCUAAGUCCUUCCCCUUCCAGAGACUGCACAAAGUGUGUGCCACCUCCACGGAACCCUCCUCAUCCACCCAAGAACUCUUCCUCACCUGACCUAAAGCUCUUCAUUUCACACCACCUUUCAAGCAAAUUAAGGAUUAAUUGCCAGCAGCAAUCUCUGUCUUUGUUUGUUUUCUCUAAUGGAAAACCUUUCUCUCGGGAGGGUAAGGUUAUCAGUCAUUCACAGCUCAGUUGUGCUGUGUUUG